AUGGACUCGCCGGUGCUACCAACCAGCGACCGCGGGACGCACCUCUCGCUCCUAGCGGACGAGAUCCUGGAGGAGAUCUUCCUCCGCCUGCCCACCCCGGAGGCGCUCGCGUGCGCGUCCGCCGCCUGCGCCACCUUCCGCCGCGUCAUCACCGACCGCCCCUUCCUCCGCCGCUUCCGCAAGCUCCACCCGCCUCCCCUCCUCGGCCUCAUCAACGACAGGGGCGGCGGCUUCCACCCCGCCCAGGCGCCGCACCCCUCCGCUAGGCUCGCCCGCGCCCUCCUCGACGCCGCCGACUUCACCUACUCCUUCGUGCCCAAGCCCAAGGAGGGGUGGCUCAGCCCCUGGCAUCCCCGCGACGUCCGCGACGGCCGCGUCCUCCUCGACUGCAGGGUCCCGGGGAGAACCUUCAAAUCCGCCCUCGCCGUGUGCGACCCCUUGUCGCGGCGCUACGUGCUGCUGCCACCGGUACCCGAGGACGACAUAACCGCCCAGGAAGGACGCCCUGCUGAAUUGGCGCCAGUCCUCGCCCCGGUCGGUGACGAUGAGGAUGAGACGUCGUUCAGGGUGAUAUGCAUGGCGCACUACAGAACCAAGGUUGUCGCGUUCGUCUUCUCGUCCGUUACUCGGCAAUGGUGUAUACCUGCUUCUCCCAGCUGGAGUUCUUUGGGCACAGACAGCCCCCAUGGGCUGCAGAACAGUUCUGAUUCGGGAGGAUGCCGUGGCUUGUCAAGUUUCGACCAUGUGCGUGGCUGCUUCUACUCGGCGUCACCUUGGCUGGACAAAUUUCUUGUUCUGGAUACACGGAGAAUGGAGUUUUCCACUAUCAGCGAUCACAGUGGCUUCCAUGAGCUGCUCAGACGUCUGCCUGGCCAGGCACUUGCAGAACACGGUAUGCAUCACCGAACUCGGCCUGGCCAGACCAGAAGUCUGCCUGGCUUUGUAGUUGGUAGAGAAGGAUCCCUUGAGUUGUUGUCUCUUGUUGGUGAUCACAGUCCAAAUGGAUCGUUUCGUCUUGUUUGUACCACUCAAAAUAACAGCGAAUCUCCCAAGGAAUGGCGGCUGGAGAAUGUUAUAUCCUUGCCUGGCCAAUAUGACUAUUUCACCGUUGGCGCAGCUGAGGGAUUCUUAUUUCUCGGAGGCACUACAGAAUCUCAGCAGGACUGUCAUGAAACUGAAUGGGUGGAUACUUGGGAUAUAGAUUAUUUUUCAGUGGAGGUCCAGACUUCAGAGCUUAAGAAAAUCUGUAGGAUGACAAAGCCAUGCUUCAACCACGAACGUGUCCACCCAUACUUCGGCUUCCCACCAUCGUUGUCAAGACCGACUAUAUGA
rnacentral:rRNA from 1 species